GCGGAAGGAUCAUUAAUGAAAUUUAUGACUGGGGUUGUGGCUGGCCUUUUAAAACGGGCAUGUGCACGCCUCUUUCACUAAUCCACACACACCUGUGCACCUUUGCGGGGGUUCUGGGAAUCGGCGCAAGUCGUAGUACCGGGGCUCGCGUCCCUUUACACACCCUUUAUGUAUGUCUUAAGAAUGUCUACUCGAUGUAAUAAAACGCAUCUAAUACAACUUUCAACAACGGAUCUCUUGGCUCUCGCA
rnacentral:misc_RNA from 1 species